rnacentral:rRNA from 1 species
GACGAACGCUGGCGGCGUGCCUAAUACAUGCAAGUAGAACGCAGUGGCGCACGCGGGAGUAACGCGUAGGUAACUGCCUCAUAGCGGGGGAUAACAAUUGGAAACGAUAGCUAAUACAGCAUACUGUGAGAUGGAACUGAUUUGGAUUAGCUAGUUGGUGAGGUAAAGGCUCACCAAGGCGACGAUCCAUAGCCGACCUGAGAGGGUGAUCGUCCACACUGGGACUGAGACACGGCCCAGACUCCUACGGGAGGCAGCAGUAGGGACUCUUCGGCAAUGGACGGAAGUCUGACCGAGCAACGCCGCGUGAGUGAAGAAGGUUUUCGGGUCGUAAAGCUCUGUUGUUAGAGAAGCGGUACCUAACCAGAAAGGGACGGCUAACUACGUGCCAGCAGCCGCGGUAAUUC